UCUGACCCCAGCUUGUAGGGAUGUUUCCAUGGCUUGGAGGGGGCGGAGCCUGUCUCUGGUCACAUGCUGGUCACACGCUGCUACCUCCCAGAAUUCUGUCUCUUCUGCACGACAGGCGAAGACUGCUGAACAUUUCAGUCAAAGUAAAUCUUUCCUCCGUUGUUUCUGUCGGACAUGUUUGGUCACAGCCAUGGGAAAGUAACCAGGACAUAGGUGUACAUAGAAUCCUUUUCCAUGAACUUCCUCAGGCAAGCCAUAGAUAAACCUGUCUAGAGUAGACCUGGAAUUAGCUUUUGGUUUAAGGGAAUAUUAUAUUUUGUUUUGUUUCUUGUCCACCUUUUUAUGGCAAUUUUUUAUUAUUUUUUAAGAUAUAAGGAAAUAAAAUUCUUAUGAGCAAGUGCUAUUGACACACUUCAAAGAAAAAUCCAAAAACCCAAAUGGGGAAGAUCAUAAAUGUAUAUCCAACAUCCCCAGAAGACAGUGAAAUUCAGAUUAAAGUAACAUUGAAACUUCACCCAGCCUAUGAGCCACACCUCAUUCUGGGUGUUGCAAGAGUUUGAAGCCAAGAGCAAAUUUAUAAACCCCAUAAACCAUCAGUGUGCAGUCACAUGACAAGCCGUGCAACAAGCUAGAACACAUCAUGUGACCACCUAUGAUCUAUAAACCCAUUCCUGAGAUUUUCUCAGGGCAUGUGGUGUUUUCCUGUGACUCUGUGAUUGAACCUCAGGACUUAGCCUGCAAGGCCAGCACUUGGCCACUGAGCCACGAGUCCUCACAUUACAUCUUAUUGGUAGAUGAGCUCACUGAGUUGCCCAGGCUGGCCUUGAUUCUGCAGCAUUUAUAGACCUUGGAUAUACGAUCCUCCAGCCUGUCUCCAGAGCUGCCCUAUGCCUACAGCAUACAUGGCUAUAAAUUCCAUUUCAUAAUAAAGAAGCAUUUGUAUGUAGGAGAGGCUUAAAAUAUUUAUAGCUGUCAUUUUAAAUAAAUUUUUGAGGUUUUAUUUAGACUGGGUCUCAUGUAUGGUAACCCCAAACUAACUAUAUAGCCAAAGUUAGCCUUGAACUAUCUUCCUGCUACCACCUCCCAAGUGCUGAGGUCUUGGGCAUGGGCCACACCCUGAGAAGCCUCGCUUUCAACUGCCAAAAUAGUCUACACAUUGGUGAAUAGUAAACUCAAAUAAAAGGUAUGGAUGUUAUUGAACAAGGAUUGUGUAGCAUAGGAAAUAAGCUGGAGCUACUGGGCCAGCACAGAGUAUUGUAUAGUGUGGUCUAGUGCAGUGCUGACUGGGACGCUUUACUGUGGAGUGAGUGCAUACAGUGUCAUUCCUGUGGAGACAAAAUGAGAUGAAACGUCAUAUUCUGAUGUGCAAAGACUUGGAGCAAAAUUUAUGCAAAUGAGUAAACUUCAAAUUCAGGUAGGGGCCCUGGGGAAGAGAACAUUGAAGGCUGUCUGUGAGUGACUAUAUGUAUAUUCUACUGCUCUGAAGUGGUUUAGUUAUAAAGUCUAUUCACCGGGUAUUAUGGUUCCCUAAGUACCGGUGCUUGCAAUACAAGUAUAGUGACCUGACCUUGUUAGCUUUAAUUCUUACCUUGAAACAGCCUAGACUCAUCUGAGAGCUGAGUCUCAACCAAGGAAUCGCUCAGAUUAGACUGACCGGUGCGCAUGUCUGGGAGAGAGCGCCUGAAUGGCUAAUUCAUGUAAGAGGCCCUGCCCACUAUGGGAGGAACCACUCUCUGCUUAGGCAAUCUCAGACUCUGUGGAAAAGCUAGCUAAACAUGAGUCUGAGCAAGCCUACAGCACAUCCAUCACGGUUUCUGCUCAAGUUCCUGCCCUGAAUUCCCUCAACAAUGAUCUGUGACCUGUGAACUGAGAUAAACCCUCUCUUCCCUAAGCUGCUGAUGGUCAGAGAAUCACAGAAACAAGAAGGAAACUGGAGCACGUCAGCGCCCACAUAAAGGUGGGAGAAGUGAGUUUCGGAUUUUCCACUAAGCCCCAUGUGUGUGGCAUGUGCACAACACCCCAGUAACGUUUACAACUGAACAUGUAAAAGGAACUACUCACACCAACUGUAAGUGCGCCACUCCGGAAAUGACACUUGGUAUCUCGACUUGCUUUCCUCUCCGAGGCUCAUUUCCUGUGCCUGCAUUCCCACCGUUCUGGUGUUUGUCAACCUAACCUUUGAAAGAAGCUGGUGAAACCCUGGGAAAGCUGAAGGUUUGGCUGUUGCCAGCGCCACGGUUCCUCGAAGGGAAUUUGAUCUCUUCCAGGAGCAACCCCAAGGAGGUAGAGACAGUCACCAUGUUCCCAUCGGUUCGCUGGCCCCGCCUUGACAAGUUUCUUGGGCGUUCUUCUUCUGGGACUCACAAGGCUGAGUCUAAAUCCCAGCAGCGGUGGUGAACUGCUCCAGGCUCUCCCCUAUCCUCUAAACCAGCUUUGUUUGGUUUUUUAGCUCCACUGGAAUUCAGUGAGAGAAGGCCUCAUUGGGUCAGCUUUGGCGUGUAACAGAAAUGAGGUAACAAUCAAAAGGUUGUCUUUCUGAGCUGUAAUUCGGUGUCUGGCAGGAGUAAUUUGAGAAGAUUGUGUCCACUUCCAGAUGCAAAACCAAACAAACAAGGGGGGAGGGAGCCCUGCUGAGAGACAUUUUCACAUUAAAAGGUGCUAAAAAUGGGCUAGAUCUCCUCGCAGCCCUGUUGGAAGUCUCCAUUCAAUUUUUAGUCAUUUCCUCUCUGUCUGCUGACUGGUAGCUGACUGCCCAGGCAGAGGAGGAGGCUAGGCUGGGAGCUGCACCUCCAUGAUGACCUGUAACUCACGGAAGGGCAAAAAUGAAAAAAUAAACAAUGUUUGUCCUGGGCGGUUCCAGGUGAGAGCAGAUGGGGGCCGGAAGAUGGGGGGGGAGGGGGGAGAGAGAGAGAGAGAGAGAGAGAGAGAGAGAGAGAGAGAGAGAGAGGAGAGGAGAGGAGAGAGAAUACACCCCUAGUCAUGUCCUCUUCUACACAGCUAUUGGGGUGACUUUUUGAGGCUCAUUAAUGAACAUGGACAUUCUGUGUAUAUCAUUAAAAUCCUCUGUAAGUAAAA